UCCACCAAAUCCACUGUCAGGCAUGGGGGUGGAAGCAUUAUGAUUUGGGGUUAUUAUUCUCCAAAAUCGACAGGAUGAAUAGAUCAAAGUAUGGAGAGAUUUUGUAAAAGAACUGAGAGCAUUGAACAUAAAACGGCAAUGAUCGCAAACACAUCGUCAUGGCAACCAAGGAGUGGCUCGGUCAGAAGAAUUUGAAGGAUCUGGAGUGUUCUAGUCAGCAUCUGGACCAACUGAGAAUCUGUGAAGGGGGUUGAAGACUUUGUUGACUAGCAACACUCUCAAGGCAUCACAGCUCUUGAGGAGAUCUCCAUGAAGGAAUGGACCAAAUAGCAGCUACCUUCAGGAGACCUUCUGAGGUGAACUCUUGUCAUAGUUCUGCUCCACUAAACAUACAACUCCUGUUUUUUGUUUCCUCACAGCUGAGGAGUUUCUAUGAGGAACAUUUCAGACCAAACUCAGCUCUUUCAGGAACAACCUGCAGAAUCUGGAAUCAAUCCUCUCCCCGCUGUACAGAACAUCCAGCAGCACGUCUAUCGUCAUCAAACACGGAGCUGUAAGUCAAACACCUCGGCCUCUAAUCAGAGCGGCGGGGUCCUCUGAGGAGACGGCGUGGAGGACGGCGGAGCCGUGGACGGAGCCCCGCUGCUGCUGCUGCUUCGCCUUCAAUCCGCAGGCCUAAUUAAAGUCAGACAUGACAAACGGCGAGCAGAGGUGCUGCCGAAGCAAACAGGCAGGAGCGCCGGCUCGAACGCGUGCGCGGGCGGGCGGGCGCGUGUAGCCCCGAGGAUUGUCUUUGUGAGGAUUAUCUGUCAGAAAGCAGCCAUGUUGAUGUCAUGACAACAUCAUCUAAAUCUCUUCUGACAGUUUGCUCAGUUUGAUUGUGUUUAUUUUCUUUUCUUUACACGCCUCACGGUGUCAAAGCAUCCAAGUGACACGGCGCCGUGCCGCUCUGCGCAAGGACCCCGUAAAACAUCAAAACAUUACAUCCGGUCCUGCUUAUGCAGUUUAUUGCUAAUUUCUGUUUCUGUGUGACC